AGCAUUCAACACUAUUUCUUGUUGGAAAACUUUAUAAAAUUAACCUAUGAUAACGUGCUUAGUUUAUUCAAUAUCUUUAAAGUAACGUGUGUUGUAUUGGACAGCACCGAACUGCACUGCACAAUACACUCAGAACUGAGAUCUGAUAAGACAGCAGCAGGUAAUAUAGAUUAAGAGCAAUACACAGACGUUGUGUACUAUACACGGGCUGAGUUUAUUGUUUAUUGUGGAUAAGUUGGGUAUAAGACUUGUGUAUUGGUAUCAUGCGGAACCUGAUGUAUUGACAUUUCAUGUAUUUGUCCGCAGAACAAUGAAUACUUGCCUUUACAGUUUGAUAAAAUGCUCAUUCAAUUGUUCAUUCAAUUGGUCGUUAUUUACCUGUUAACCUGACUGUGUGAUGUAAGAAACGGAAGCAGGGGCAAAACAAUUACAUUAAACAUGUCUCACAUUAGAUAAUUAUACUUUUCAACCCUUUCCAAAAAUGAAGACUUCGAACCCUAGUUUUAAGACCUUUGAAAGUAGUAUAUGAGACUUUUUCAUAAUCCCCCGUCCUCCAAUUUGAAUGAAUGGGGUUCCCGGGAUUUAUCCCCCCGUUUCUCCGCCGGCGAACAAACCAUCUCGAAUACUGUAUGUACUUAUCAAAAAUGAAAGGGGUUCCAGCGGGGUUCAGUGACCCCCUCACCCCCCACAACAUCCACAACCUUCUCCAACCACCAACAACUACCGCAUACAACCCACGAACACGAUGAAGAACUAAAUCCUGGCGUACAAACCACCUCGCAUACUCUAUUGUAUGUACUUAUGGAAAAUGAAAGGGGUUCCCGGGUUUCAGCCAAUCCCCCCCCGAGCUCUCCUUCGACUUCCCCUUCCCUCUCAAACCACCAACAACUAGAAGGAAAUUAUUUUCCCUUGUUAAUGAUGAAAUAACCGCCAGGUUGCGAUUGAUGAUCACGAAGAAUUCGUGCGAAUAGGAAUGUAAAGGCAUUCAGCUUUUGUGAACCGAUCCGUUCACAUCGAUUUAAUUGAUUGUUAAAUUUGUGGUCGUACCGGGCAGUAUGCAGAAGGCAGUGUUUAAUGAAAAGGCUGUACAAAGAAUAGUUUAAAUCCUCGUGCAGAGGGUCAGUCGUAUUGAAAAUAUGUAAAUUGGAUUUAUAUGACAUGACGAAUUACAAAUUUGUGCUAAAGAAAAUUGUUUUUAAUAUUUUCAUAUUUAGUGCUUCGAAUUACAAACUUAUAAAGAAUGUGUUUCGUUGACAUAUUGUUAAUGAAUAUUAAGGUGACAUUUUUAUUUCUGUUUUGCGAGCUUCACGUUGGAAUAAUAUGCAAAACAAUAAAGUCGGGGUUCAGGAUUCCGUGGUUCAACCACGUGGGUGUGAACACAUGAGCUGGUCAAGAUGGUCAUCUCGUGACAACUGUUUUGGGUUGAUGUCAUCGCCUGUUCACGUGUUACGCUUCCGGUGGAUUUCCUUCGAUGGUUGGGGUUUUCUGGUAUAAUAUCACCAGACAGCGUCAGCCAUAGUUGAAGCCAUACAGGCAACAUAAAAAGAUAAGUAUUAUAAAUGAAAUUCAAUCAUCUCUGAAUUGAAAGAGAAAGAUUUUAAGCAAUGCUGUUAAAUCUGCAAAGCAUUACAAGUUAUGAGAUGCAUAAGCUUUAAUUUUAAUUAUGUGGUGUAUGCAACGUUAUGGAGUCUGUUCAUGUAUAUAUUAGUUAAAAGUGUGUCAGAUAUAAAAGGAUCUCAUAUACUCUUUAUUCAAUAUUCAGUUUGUAAGUGAUGUGAUACUACAGACAUAUUCAAGAAUAUACUGUUUCUAAAAGUGUAUAUACAUUCAUUUCCACAAUAUUUCAAAUUCGAUGGUUAAAACAAGUUAUACACAGGGCUUACAAAAAGUAGUAAAUUCUUAAAUACGACCGCUCGCAAAUUUUUAUAAAAUAUUUCACGAGCAAAUUUGGUAUAUUCAAACUUCAUAUAUUUUCGUGAAAAACUUUUAUUUAGAAAAGGUGUUCUUUGAUUUGAAAGAUAGUAUUAUAUUUAAUAAUAUAAUGUACACAUGUACGAUGAAUUGGGUACUUUGUCUGGAGUGUUUGAUUGUGAUGAUAUUGCAUUUUACUACUACUACUACUGCUACUGCUGCUGCUGCUGCUGCUACUGCUACUACUACUACUACUACUACUACUACUACUACUACUACUACUACUACACUACUGCUGCUGCUGCUGCUGCUGCUACUGCUACUGCUACUGCUGCUGCUGCUGCUGGUGCUACUGCUACUGCUACUGCUACUACUACUACUACUACUACUACUACGAAUAUCAUAUUCGUGUGUCUGUUGUAACUUACCAUAACCUAAGAAUAAAGUUUAACAGCAUCGUGAAUUCAAUGGCAGCAUCACCAAGACUAUACAAUUGUUAUAAAGUUUUAAUAAAAGGCAACAUCGCUGAUUCACGGCGAAACGUGAGGUUGUAUUCCCAGGCAAAGGAGCAAACACAGUUGUAACCUAUCUCCACGAUUAUCUGCCAACUAACUACGGCCUGGGAGCCGACUUCACCAAAUGUUCAUGCGACUGGCAUUAUGGAAUUUGGAAAUUGGUGGAUGCACAUGGGUGAAAUAACAUAGGUGGCUUCUAGAGUAGCCACGUCAUCCCGCAAUGACCACAACAUCCCACAUAUUGUUAAUGGCAGUCGCAAAUCAGUGCCAUUUUAUGACUGGAUCACCUUUAAAGGCAUUUUCAAACCAUUGAAGAACAUUUCCAAAUACAAUUCAUUUGAGGUAUCGCCUAACAAGAAUGGGGUUGUAAGAGUUAGGAAGUUUGUUGGUGCUCCAGAGGAGAGAAUAAACAUUAUAAAAACCUGCCAAGUGGAUAUUGGUGUUCUGCAAGAGCAGAUCGUUGGUGAUGGAAUCAGUGCUGAAAGGCACUUGCAUGAUGUAAUUAGAGAUUUUUGCAUUUCGGAUAAUGCCAAAAACACAACAUGCCCUUUACCAUUUGUUGCAAAAGAAGGCAAUUCAAAGGCCAAAAAACAAAAGUUUAACUAGGUUACUUUAUUAAAAGUGACACUAUUAUUCAAAAUCAGUACGUACACAUGUAUAACAAACACAAAAUUUGACUGAUAAACCUAUAACUACUUACUAAAAAAUGCAUUUAUGUAACAUAUUAAUUACUGAUAACAAGCGUGUUACCUUAUUUUUAAUAGCAGAAAGCGCAAAAAUAUUAAAUGAUUGGUGAAUGCUAAAAGAUUUACUGUGGUCUACAAUAGUUUUAUAAGGGAAAAAUACCGUGUUUUAUGUUCAUUUCUUUCAAAUUCAACUAGGUAUUAUUCAUAAGAACCAUUGCUUUUGACAUUUAUUCAUCCUUUUGAAAUAUUAUAAUUAUAAUAUUAUUAUUUGUGGCAGAUCUUAUUUGUGAGUAAGAGUGCAUCUUUAAGAACAUAUGUCUGUGUGUGUUUGGCAAAAGUGAUAGUUGUCUUGCUACAAACCGAUUGGCAAGAAUUAGUGGAAGUUUGAUGUAAUUAUGUGUAUAUUAUAAGUGUACAUGUAAAAAGUUAUACAUUUGAUUAGUUUCAAUGUACCUUGCAUGCAAAUGUAUGUUGUCAAUUUUUGUCAAAUUAGGCAUUUAUCAAGGCUUUUUAUGUAAAUACAUUUGAUUUUUGUCAUUUUACAGCUCCAAAAGAAUAGAGUUUGUUGCUAUGGCCACCAAUUAUAAAGUGCCUUGUUAUUGAUUAAAAAGGUAAUUGAUUUCACCGGACAACUUACAUCCUUUAAAUAAUUGCUUGUGUUAAAUAAAUAUGUUUGUGUUUUGAUUAAUACCAGGAUAAACUGCACUGUUUUUGAACAGUUCACCUUGUUCUUGUAAAGUGGCAGAUUUUCUUUUCAUGGUCUAAGGAAAAUUGCUAUAAACGUUCUAUUUUACUUCUUUACAGGCUUAAAUUUAAAUGUUGUACUUAAAUAUAUCCCAGAAUAAUAAUCUAUAAAAUUCAA